UACGUAGGGUGCGAGCGUUGUCCGGAAUUAUUGGGCGUAAAGAGCUCGUAGGCGGCUUGUUGCGUCAGCUGUGAAAACCCGCAGCUCAACUGUGGGCUUGCAGCUGAUACGGGCAGGCUUGAGUUCGGUAGGGGAGACUGGAAUUCCUGGUGUAGCGGUGAAAUGCGUUGAUAUCGUGAGGAACACCGGUGGCGAAAGCGGCUCACUGGGUCUUUGCUGACGCUGAGGCACGAAAGCUAGGGUAGCGAACGGG
rnacentral:rRNA from 1 species